UGGGGAAUUUUGGACAAUGGGCGAAAGCCUGAUCCAGCAAUGCCGCGUGUGUGAAGAAGGCCUUCGGGUUGUAAAGCACUUUUGUCCGGAAAGAAAUCCUUGGCUCUAAUACAGUCGGGAGAUGACGGUACCGGAAGAAUAAGCACCGGCUAACUACGUGCCAGCAGCCGCGGUAAUACGUAGGGUGCAAGCGUUAAUCGGAAUUACUGGGCGUAAAGCGUGCGCAGGCGGUUUGCUAAGACCGAUGUGAAAUCCCCGGGCUCAACCUGGGAACUGCAUUGGUGACUGGCAGGCUAGAGUAUGGCAGAGGGGGGUAGAAUUCCACGUGUAGCAGUGAAAUGCGUAGAGAUGUGGAGGAAUACCGAUGGCGAAGGCAGCCCCCUGGGCCAAUACUGACGCUCAUGCACGAAAGCGUGGGGAGCAAAACAGGAUUAGAUACCCUGGUAGUCCACGCCCUAAACGAUGUCAACUAGUUGUUGGGGAUUCAUUUCCUUAGUAACGUAGCUAACGCGUGAAGUUGACCGCCUGGGGAGUACGGUCGCAAGAUUAAAACUCAAAUGAAUUGACGGGGUCAUAGCUGUUUCCU
rnacentral:rRNA from 1 species